rnacentral:snRNA from 1 species
GGAUGUGAGGGUAUUCUGACUGUGACCCCAUCGAUCACAGGGUUGAUUCGGCUGAUCUGGCUGGCUAGGUUGGUGUUCCCUUUCUCACUAUUCCAUGUGCGUCCCUCUUGAAGCUGUACACUCAAAGAGGAUGACCAUUCCCGCUAAGGGAAGGUUGUCCUUUGGUCAGGGGUGUACCAGCAGCUGUGCUCCCCUGCUAGAACCCCUAAACACACUCUCAAAUAAUGAACAGGGCUUGUGGGAGACCACAGCCUGCUGCUGCAAUUAUGUGCAUCUUACUAAGAGAAAGCCAGGAGUGAU